rnacentral:rRNA from 1 species
AUUGAACGCUGGCGGCAGGCCUAACACAUGCAAGUCGAGCGGCAGCGGAAAGUAGCUUGCUACUUUGCCGGCGAGCGGCGGACGGGUGAGUAAUGUCUGGGAAACUGCCUGAUGGAGGGGGAUAACUACUGGAAACGGUGGCUAAUACCGCAUAACGUCGCAAGACCAAAGUGGGGGACCUUCGGGCCUCACGCCAUCGGAUGUGCCCAGAUGGGAUUAGCUAGUAGGUGGGGUAAUGGCUCACCUAGGCGACGAUCCCUAGCUGGUCUGAGAGGAUGACCAGCCACACUGGAACUGAGACACGGUCCAGACUCCUACGGGAGGCAGCAGUGGGGAAUAUUGCACAAUGGGCGCAAGCCUGAUGCAGCCAUGCCGCGUGUGUGAAGAAGGCCUUCGGGUUGUAAAGCACUUUCAGCGAGGAGGAAGGCAUCACACUUAAUACGUGUGGUGAUUGACGUUACUCGCAGAAGAAGCACCGGCUAACUCCGUGCCAGCAGCCGCGGUAAUACGGAGGGUGCAAGCGUUAAUCGGAAUUACUGGGCGUAAAGCGCACGCAGGCGGUUUGUUAAGUCANAUGUGAAAUCCCCGCGCUUAACGUGGGAACUGCAUUUGAAACUGGCAAGCUAGAGUCUUGUAGAGGGGGGUAGAAUUCC